rnacentral:rRNA from 1 species
GUGUCAGCAGCCGCGGUAAUACGUAGGGGGCAAGCGUUGUCCGGAAUUAUUGGGCGUAAAGCGCGCGCAGGCGGUUUUUUAAGUCUGGAGUAUAAGCCCGAGGCUCAACCUCGGUUCGCUCCGGAAACUGGGAGACUUGAGUGCAGGAGAGGGAAGCGGAAUUCCACGUGUAGCGGUGAAAUGCGUAGAGAUGUGGAGGAACACCAGUGGCGAAGGCGGCUUCCUGGCCUGUAACUGACGCUGAGGCGCGAAAGCGUGGGGAGCAAACAGGAUUAGAAACCCGCGUAGUCC